GAUGAACGCUGGCGGCGUGCCUAAUACAUGCAAGUCGAGCGAACAGACGAGGAGCUUGCUCCUCUGACGUUAGCGGCGGACGGGUGAGUAACACGUGGAUAACCUACCUAUAAGACUGGGAUAACUUCGGGAAACCGGCGCUAAUACCGGAUAAUCUAUUGAACCGCAUGGUUCAAUAGUGAAAGACGGUUUUGCUGUCACUUAUAGAUGGAUCCGCGCCGCAUUAGCUAGUUGGUAAGGUAACGGCUUACCAAGGCAACGAUGCGUAGCCGACCUGAGAGGGUGAUCGGCCACACUGGAACUGAGACACGGACCAGACUCCUACGGGAGGCAGCAGUAGGGAAUCUUCCGCAAUGGGCGAGAGCCUGACGGAGCAACGCCGCGUGAGUGAUAAAGGUCUUCGGAUCGUAAAACUCUGUUAUUAGGGAAGAACAAAUGUGUAAGUAACUAUGCACGUCUUGACGGUACCUAAUCAGAAAGCCACGGCUAACUACGUG
rnacentral:rRNA from 1 species